CAGAGCUAGGAUAUCUUAGAGAUUAUCCUAGAGAUGAUUGAUGAUUUCAUGAGUUAAAUUCUUGUCUUCAUAAAUUUUGUUUUCCCCUUCAACUUUUGUUAUACUUUUUAUUCAAUGUGAGUAGUUGAGUAUUGGAUACCUACAAUAAUUUUCCAAAAUAUAAUAUUUAAAGUCACUUUUCUGUUUUUAACAACCCUGGGUUGAAAGGGAUGUUCUAGUCUUGAGCUUUGUCAGAGUGAUACUGAUAAAUUGGGUAUUUUAACAGCAAGCAAAAAUACUAAUAUUGGGUUGCUCUGCCUCUGCCAUUAUUGAAUUGAGUAUAACACUGUGCAAAUUGAGAAUUGCUCACAUUUAUAAUAUGGCAAAUAACUUUAAACCGUGGCUAUAAGACACAUAAAGCAUCGUUUUAUAUCAAAAUAUAUAUUCUAGGCAAAUUCCAGUUAAAAACAAUCAAAUUAUUUUUUACAGCGUCUAAUAUAAUAUUAAAUUGUAAAUAAAUAUACAUGAAAAUGGUAGAUUUGCUGAGCUGAAAAGAUGAGUCAGCGGUUAAGAUCUCUGGCUGCCCUUCCAUUGGUCCUGAGUUCAAUUCCUAGCAACCACAUGGUGGCUCACAACCAACUGUAAUGGUAUCUGAUUCUCUCUUCUGGUGUACAUGAAGCCUGAACACUCAUAUAUAAUAGGUAAAUAAAUCUUUUAAAAAAGAAAUAGGUGAAUCUUUAAAAAAAAGAAAGAAAGAAAGAGAGAGAGAGAAGGCUGGCUGUCACCCAGCCUCACAGACUUCUUUCAAAUAAAGUAUGAAAUUCUUUCUAACCCCCACCCACCCUCUCCUUCCUUUUUUUUUUCCCUGAAAAGAAUCUGUGUAGCUCAGAUUAUCCUUCCACUCAUCUAUCUGCCCGCCUCAUCCUCCCUCAGCUAGGACUUUUAUAGGAACGAACUGUCAUGCCUGGCUUUUCAUCUUCAUGACAGACAGUUCUACCAAAAACAGUGGAUACUUAGAUAAUUUUCAUUGCAACUCAUGAUACAAAUUACAGUAAUUUGGAUCUCUAAAUUGUUUCUUUAAAUGUCUACCAAUAUAAGUAGUGACACUAAAAUAGAAAUAUCCACUAUCAAUUUUCGUUCUCCUGUUACUAUCCUCUGUUUCCAAAAGAUGACACUGAGUCGGUUUAUGCUUUCAUACACCUUCUGGAGUUCAGUCCUCAGUAACAGAAUUCAGCCUCGCGGACGGCUGUCAUUUCAUUUUGAAGUUCCUUUUGUUUGAAGUUGACCUGAAAUCUUUAUCACAGUAAUAAACUCUUUAAUCGGUUUUUUAAUAUUAUAACUGAUUCCCUUUGUUUACAGUUACUCUAUAUGGCAUUGUGCAAUGUUUCAUUGACUCCUUGUUUAU
rnacentral:lncRNA from 1 species